rnacentral:lncRNA from 1 species
CCUCACAGCUUCAAUACUCUGUUGGGGCUGCUGGCUCCCUCAUCUAAACAGGGAAACCUCCAGCCUGGAGCUCCCUGCACCAGUCCUCAGAAUCCUCCUCUGAAAGAGCUGACCUUAAAAGAAGCAGACUCAGAAGUUGCCCGUCCAAAGGAAUGUGGUUAUUCCAAGGAGGAGAAAGGUUUACCACAGCUGAUCAAAGAAAAUAGACCCAGAAUAAGAAAUUUUCCACUUGGAUAUGGGGAACCAGAAAAUACAUUCAGCAAGCUGAUCCCAGUACCCUGAGACGAGAAAUUAGACAUCUGGAAACUGUGGCAAGCACCAGAAAGUCUGAAUCAAACCAAGCCUGGAUCAGCCACUCAUCAGCUGGGUGGCCUUUAGCAAUUCUCUUGAUUUUUCUGGGUUGCAGUUUUAUCAUCUGUGCAACAAAGAGGUUUGACAAAUAUACUGGCAGUUCUAU